CCUACGGAGUGCAGCAGUGAGGAAUAUUGGUCAAUGGGCGAGAGCCUGAACCAGCCAAGUCGCGUGAAGGAUGACGGCCCUACGGGUUGUAAACUUCUUUUGUCAGGGAGCAAUUGAGUCCACGUGUGGGCUUAGCUAGAGUACCUGAAGAAAACGCAUCGGCUAACUCCGUGCCAGCAGCAGCGGUAAUACGGAGGAUGAGAGCGUUAUCCGGAUUUAUUGGGUUUACAGGGUGCGUAGGCGGAAUAUCAAGUCAGCGGUAAAAAUUCGGGGCUCAACCCCGUCGUGCCGUUGAAACUGAUGUUCUUGAGUGGGCGAGAAGUAUGCGGAAUGCGUGGUGUAGCGGUGAAAUGCAGAGAUAUCACGCAGAACUCCGAUUGCGAAGGCAGCAUACCGGCGCCCAACUGACGCUGAAGCACGAAAGCGUGGGUAUCGAACAGGAUUAGAUACCCCUGUAGUC
rnacentral:rRNA from 1 species